rnacentral:rRNA from 1 species
UACAGAGGGUGCAAACGUUGUUCGGAAUUACUGGGCGUAAAGCGCGUGCAGGCGGCCUUGCAAGUCGGACGUGAAAUCCCACGGCUCAACCGUGGAAGUGCAUUCGAAACUGCGAGGCUGGAGUCCUGGAGAGGAAAGUGGAAUACUCGGUGUAGAGGUGAAAUUCGUAGAUAUCUGGAGGAACACCGGUGGCGAAGGCGCCCACCUGGCCUGCUACUGACGCUGAAGCUCGAAAGCUAGGGGAGCAAACGGG